rnacentral:misc_RNA from 1 species
UUAAGUUCAGCGGGUAUUCCUACCUGAUCCGAGGUCAACCUUUGGUAAUAUAAUGGGUUUUACGGCAGGGCACCGCCAGUCCGUCCAAAGCGAGGUGGUAAAACUACUGCGCUCGGAGUCCUGGCGAGCCCGCCACUCAAUUUAGGGGCCUGCCCCCGCUAGGGGGGGCAGCGCCCCAACACCAAGCAUACGCUUGAGGG